UAAAUUUAUAUAAAUAAUUAAUUGCUGGCGGCCAAGUCUUUUCCAUCAGCUAGUUUGUCGGCUUUUCCUUCCUUCUCCCUAGGCGCAAUUUGACUGCUCUUUGUUUAGUUUAUUUAAGUUAGAUAAAGUCACUUUCUUCAACUGUUUGAGCUGCCCCAUGUCUUUUCAGCCAGCUACCUUGCAUUUCCAUUUCCAAUGCAGCCUUCUUCCUUUGUUUAAUUUAUUCUCACGUGUUCUCUCUCGCUCUUUUCAUUGCAGCCUUCUUCCUUUGUUUAAUUUAUUCUCUAAACGUGUUCUCUCCCAGCAACUCAAGCUCAAAAACAACAAAAAAAUGGAUGCGCUUUUGGCUGUCACCGUAACACUUUUCUCAGCUGCCAUUUUCUUGUUAAUUGCUAUAGCAUUUCGACUUUUUUAUUUAAAAUACCAACAACAACAACAAAACUUUAUCCAGUCAGAUUUUGGUGGCAUCCAAAAUCUGGAGAUUGCGGUCCACGAUUUGAAUGGCGCAAUCCACGAUUUGAUUACUUCUGUUCAGCUUCUUGAGAACAGGAUGGCUUUGAAGGGUACUCUGGCGAUAUCGAAGGUUGAUGUUCAUAUGGGGUUGAAUAUGAGUCAUUGUUUUGACAGUGACUUAAUAUAAGUUUUUAUGUUUUUUGGAUUUAUUUUUGUUUAUUUUUGUGCCCCUCUUGAGUUGUUUAAUCGACGACUGAAGGCUCGAGCAACUGAGGAAUAUAGUUUAAUCGACAAGGCGCUCAACAGGAAGGUGGACGCAGUCGACGGAGGUCUCGACAGGAAGGUGGACGCAGUCAACGGAGGUGGAGUUUGCGACUGAAAGAAGGCAGUGAAGAGAGGGAAGGAACGAAGGGUCGUGUGACCGUGUAAUGUAUAUGUUUUUUAAUUUGCUGGGAAGAAAACUGUCUUUUUCUUUAUUUUUUCAUGAAGGGUAGUUUUGUCUUCACAGUGAAAAA